UGUUGGUUGUGAUAGUAGUAUUAAUGAUGAUUGUAGUGAUAGCAGCUCAGUGAUGGUGGUGGUAGUAGUAGAAUGAUGAUGGUAGUGAUAGCAGUUUAUUGAUGGUGGUUGUGGAAGUAGUUGUAAUGAUGAUUGUUGUGAUAGCAGGUUAGUGAUGGUGUUGGGAGUAUUAGUAAUGGUGAUGGUAGUGAUACCAGUUUAGUGAUGGUGGUGGUGGUAGUAGUAGAAUGAUGAUGGUAUUGAUAGCAGUUUAGUGAUGGUGGUGGUAGUUGUCGAAGUGAUGAUGGUAGUGAUAGCAGUUUAGUGAUGGUGGUGGUGGGAGUAGUAAUGAUGAUGGUAGUGACAGCAGUGGUGGUGGUAGAUGUAGUAAUGAUGAUGGUAGUGAUAGCAGUUUAGUGAUGGUGGUGGUAUUAUUAGAAUGAUGAUGGUAGUGAUAGCAGUUUAGUGAUGGUGGUGGUGGUAGUAGUAGUAAUGAUGAUGGUAGUGAUAGCAGUUUAGUGAUGGUGGUGGUGGAAGUAGAAGUGGAAGCAGUUUAGUGAUGCUGGUGGUGGUAGCAAUGAUGAUGGCAGUGAUAGAAGUUUAGUGAUGGUGGUGGUGGUAGUAGUAGUAAUGAUGAUGGUAGUGAUACCCGUUUACUGAUGGUGGUUGUGUAAGUAGUUGUAAUGAUGAUGGUAGUGAUAGCAGCUCAGUGAUGGUGAUGGUAGUAGUAGAAUGAUGAUGGUAGUGAUAGCAGUUUAGUGAUGGUGGUUGUGGAAGUAGUAGUAAUGAUGAUGGUAGUGAUAGCAGCUCAGUGAUGGUGGUGGUAGUAGUAUAAUGAUGAUGGUAGUGAUUGCAGUUUAGUGAUGGUGGUGGUAGUAGUAUUAAUGAUGAUUGUAGUGAUAGCAGGUUAGUGAUGGUGAUGGGAGUAUUAGUAAUGAUGAUGGUAUUGAUACCAGUUUAGUUAUGGUGGUGGUGGUAGUAGAGGUAUGAUGAUGGUAUUGAUAGCAGUUUAGUGAUGGUGGUGGUAGUUGUAGAAGUUGUGAUGGUAGUGAUAGCAGUUUAGUGAUGGUGGUGGUGGUGGUAGUAGUAAUGAUGGUGGUAGUGAUAGCUGUUUAGUGAUGGUGGUGGUAGUAGUAGUAAUGAUGACGGUAGUGAUAGCAGUUUAGUGAUGGUGGUGGUAGUAGUAGUAAAGAUGAUGGUAGUGAUAGCAGUUUUCUGAUGUUAGUGGUAGUAGUACUAAUGAUGACGGUAGUGAUAGCAGUUUAGUGAUGGCAGGGUGGUAGUAGUAGUAAUGAUGAUGGUUGUGAUAGCAGUUUAGUGAUGGUGGUGGUAGUAGUAUUAAUGAUGAUUGUAGUGAUAGCAGGUUAUUGAUGGUGAUUGGAGUAUUAGUAAUGAUGAUGGUAUUGAUACCAGUUUAGUUAUGGUGGUGGUGGUAGUAGAAGAAUGAUGAUGGUAUUGACAGCAGUUUAGUGAUGGUGGUGGUAGUUGUAGAAGUGGUGAUGGUAGUGAUAGCAGUUUAGUGAUG
rnacentral:lncRNA from 1 species